CAUUGGUAUGUUUUUUCAUAUUGAGGGGUUUUAUUCCCAAAGCAACUUUUGAUUGUUGAAAAGAGUUUGGUAGAUCAUAUGUGCCUCCUCCUAUAGCCUUGGCAUAUCAGGUAUUGGUGGGAAAAGUGUCAGAACCACCCAGAAGGCAGUCUGAAAGGCUUAAACUCACUCUGAAGAUAUGGUUGUAUUAUUGGAUAGGAUCUCACAGUCAUCACUGAAAUGAGCUCUUCCUACACAAUGCCUACCUUUAUGCUGUAAAUCAUUCUUCUUGUCUUUUUGUUUCCCUAGAUUACUCCCUGCCAAAUCUUCAGGAGUAUUGUUCCUGUUCUUGUAUUUUAAGGAAAAGAGCACCUCUGGGAUGUUCUCUUGAGUCAACACUGGAAAACUCCUCCUAGGAGAUAAGAUGUGUACACUAAGACACUGAGAAGAAAGCAGGCAGAACACUGAAGAGUUGGUAGAUGUUUUCUCUGGACCUGAACAUCAGUGCAUUGAAAAUGGAGUUGGUCAUUGUGGGUUUGGCAGUGAGGGUUGGGCCAGGAUAGGUACUGGCCUGAAGAGAUCUGGAGGCUGGAAUGUCCAAGAUGAAGGUGCUGGGAGCUCUGAUUUCUGGUGAGUAGAUGGCUGCUUUGUCAUUGUAGCCUUGCCUGGAGGAGAGAAGAGAGAGAGAGAAAAAAUAAGUACUUCCCUGUCUCUUCUAAUAAGGGCAUUAAUUCUAUCAUGAGAGCUCCAUCUUCACAACAUAAUUACCUCUCAUAGACCCUAUCUCCAAAUACUAUCACUUUGGUCAUUAGGGCUCCUACAUAUAAAUUUGAGGGAACUAAACAUUCAGUCCAUAGCAGUCAUAGAGGGCUCCAUGGGUGGUUUAAUGUUCUGACAUUAUAAUUCGAAAUUCUCAUCUUGUAUUAUUCUUUUAUCUUUGAAUUUGUGUUUUGUAAGUUAA
rnacentral:lncRNA from 1 species